rnacentral:lncRNA from 1 species
ACUACGGAGGGGAACUGCAGAGCCAGAAGAGCACGGAGCAGCAACUCGCAGCCCAAUUGGUGACGCUGCAGAAUGAACUGGAGCUGGCGGAGACCAAAUGCGCCUUGCAGGAGGAGAAGCUGCAGCAGGACGCGCUGCAGACAGCGGAGGCCUGGGCCAUAUUCCAGGAGCAGACCGUAGUCCUGCAGGAGGUGCAGGUGAAGGUGAUGGAGGCUGCGGAGGAGCUGGACGCCUGGCAGAGUGGCCGGGAACUGUGUGACGGGCAGCUUCGCAGAGUGCAGUACAGCACCGAGUCGCUCAUGGAGGAGAUGGCCAGGGCGGACCGAGAGACGCGGCUGUUCGGCGGUCCUCGCGCGCUGGCCAUCAGGCGCUGCUGACGCUGCCGCUCCUCUUCCUGGGGCUGUCGCUGCUCUGGACGGUGCUGUUGGACCCCGGCGCCGUCUCCGCGUGGCUCUGGAGCCUCACCUCGGAGACGACGCUGCGCCGCCUGCGCUACACGCUGUCCCCGCUGCUGGAGCUGCGCGCUAACGGGCUGCUGCCAACCUAAGUGCAGCGCCCCGCGCCUGGCUCCAGGUGGACUCCAGGGCACCGGCUUUAUUUCUGGUGCACUCCUCUCCUGAGAGUGUAGACCAAGGUCGCCUAAUAAACUCCUCAAGGGAUGAA